GGUGCCUGAGGCCCUGUCUGGAGCCUGAGGUCAGAUCUCAGAACCCUGGCCCAGGAAACAAAGAGGGGGAGGCAGAGGGAGGGGAGAGGUUGCAGGAGGAGGAGGAGGAAGGAGGAAGAUUGGGAGGAAGGCAGGCAAGCCUGAUGAGAGAUAUAUGGAGGAGGAAAGGUGGAUGCAGGAGGAUGGAACAAGGAGGUGAGUGAUGGGACAAGGAGUGCUGAAGACAGGAGUGUGAGGAGAAAAGGAAAUGUUGAUGGAGAGGGAGGGGGAGGAUGAAGGAGGUGUAGACAGAGGGGGGAGGGUAGGAGAACCAAGCAAGAGAGGGAGAAAUAGGAUGUGGAUGAAAGAGAAUGAAGGUGAGAUGGAGAAGGGCUGAAGUAGAAGCUGCAGGUCCAGGCCAGCUCACAGUCCAUGCUAUUGGGACCCAGGGACUGUUGCUUAAACGUGUGCCCAUGGGAGUCCCUGGGUUGAUGCGCAGACCCUGAAAAAUAUGGAAGCUUGGGAGCCCUGGGUGAUCAAUCACUGGCCUGAGUCAUAUCAAACCCCAGGGGCCUAGGGUCCACAUGGCUGUCCUUGCUGGACCACUAAGAUGGAAGGGGACAGCAGGAGUGGAGGAAGGUCAGAGCUAGGGGCCCAAGUGUUUCUGAGGGGCCCUGUGGCUGGAUCCCUCACCUGCCAGGCUACAGCUUCUCCUGACAUUUUCACUACCAGGUGAUAGCCCUGCCCCUGGAGAAGUUAAACUCCUUGAUUAUGUGCUCAUUGCUUACUGUGAUCGCUGACCUUGGCCCUAUUGCGAGUGGAAUGGCAGUGGCCCACGUGUUCAGUCUGCUGCCUGGCACUCUCUCUGUUCUUGUCCCCAGGCAGUUGGAGACCCUGCGGUCUCUGACCUGCUCUGACCCUCGCCCAUCUUCUCCACCUCUCCUGCCCCAUCCCUGGGUGCAUUUCCACCAGAGGCACAGCUCCAGCAGUGAGAGGUCACAAAGAUGCACUGGCGGGUCUAUGAAGGGAUCCCCCCACAUGUAA
rnacentral:lncRNA from 1 species